rnacentral:lncRNA from 1 species
CUCUGGUCGCUGACUUUUGUGGGGCCCUCUCCCUGUCUGAUGCAGCCACUGUGUGUAAACAUGUAUAAACAUACCUCAAAUGCGGGGACCCCACUGGGACGGACACUCCAAUCUCAGGCGACUUUACUCCUCCUGAGGUGGCCAGGAGUGUCUCCAGGUCCUGACUGUCACAGAAGGCCUGAGCACCCCCUGGACUGGCUGGGCCUUGCUCACUUCAAGGCCUCCUCCUGAGUGAGGGUAGCAGGCGAGAUGACGGGGCUGGAUUCUUGGAUACAUAAGCCUUUUUUCUUUUUCUUUACCAAAAACCAACACUCACAUUCUGUCUCUUCCUUGCAUGAUGAAAGGGUGUUUUGCCAACAUUUCCC